rnacentral:rRNA from 1 species
CGUAACAAGGUCUCCGUAGGUGAACCUGCGNANGGAUCAUUACAAGAACGCCCGGGCUUCGGCCUGGUUAUUCAUAACCCUUUGUUGUCCGACUCUGCUGCCUCCGGGGCGACCCUGCCUUCGGGCGGGGGCUCCGGGUGGACACUUCAAACUCUUGCGUAACUUUGCAGUCUGAGUAAACUUAAUUAAUAAAUUAAAACUUUUAACAACGGAUCUCUUGGUUCUGGCAUCGAUGAAGAACGCAGCGAAAUGCGAUAAGUAAUGUGAAUUGCAGAAUUCAGUGAAUCAUCGAAUCUUUGAACGCACAUUGCGCCCCCUGGUAUUCCGGGGGGCAUGCCUGUUCGAGCGUCAUUUCACCACUCAAGCCUCGCUUGGUAUUGGGCAACGCGGUCCGCCGCGUGCCUCAAAUCGUCCGGCUGGGUCUUCUGUCCCCUAAGCGUUGUGGAAACUAUUCGCUAAAGGGUGUUCGGGAGGCUACGCCGUAAAACAACCCCAUUUCUAAGGUUGACCUCGGAUCAGGUAGGGAUACCCGCUGAACUUAAGCAUAUCA